ACCAAGCUUCGUUACAUUGUAAUGUAAUGUUACAGAGUGGGAGGCUUCUGGGCCGCUUUAUCAUAUUGUCAGUUCUACGAUUUAUCAUCUCAUAGCACCGUCCACCACUACCACACUAUACUUCGCCAUACGAACUGUAAGUCCAAGGCGGCGGGUCCAGCCGUCUAGGACCCCUCCUCAUCCAUUCACCCGAACAACCGAAGAGACGGAGGGUUCGGCAAUCGCCACCAAUCUAGCGUGCGAAUCUGGUCCAUAAACUGCGACCUCAACUUCACAUCUCAGCAGCUAGCCAUAAUCUCGCGCUCCCGACUAAUUCGAGGGUCUCCCCAGGAAUCGAACCCAGGACCCUAAAUCGCGAAUCGCAGUAGUGUCAACCCAG
rnacentral:lncRNA from 1 species